rnacentral:rRNA from 1 species
GACGAACGCUGGCGGCGUGCUUAACACAUGCAAGUCGAACGGAAAGGCCCUUCGGGGUACUCGAGUGGCGAACGGGUGAGUAACACGUGGGUGAUCUGCCCUGCACUUUGGGUUAAGCCUGGCAAACUGGGUCUAAUACCGAAUAUGACCGCGCUCUUCAUGGGGUGUGGUGGAAAGCUUUUGCGGUGUGGGAUGGGCCCGCGGCCUAUCAGCUUGUUGGUGGGGUAAUGGCCUACCAAGGCGACGACGGGUAGCCGGCCUGAGAGGGUGACCGGCCACACUGGGACUGAGAUACGGCCCAGACUCCUACGGGAGGCAGCAGUGGGGAAUAUUGCACAAUGGGCGCAAGCCUGAUGCAGCGAUGCCGCGUGAGGGAUGACGGCCUUCGGGUUGUAAACCUCUUUCAAUAGGGACGAAGCGCAAGUGACGGUACCUAUAGAAGAAGGACCGGCCAACUACGUGCCAGCAGCCGCAGUAAGAC